UCACACGUCGUGACUCCGCCCUCAAGGGCGGCGCUGUGGGAUCCCAGCUGUGUGAACAGCGUCCUUUCGCCCCGCCUAGUCACGCCCCCCUUGAUGACGCAAUCGUGUCUGUUUAUUACUGCCCACUUCCAUACUAUCGGCCUAUUACGGCUCGCCUGGUCUCUCCGACCACGCCCGCCGUACCUAGGCCCGCCCCCUUACUUCCCUAUAUAAACCUCUAGCCGUCCAAACAAUGUCAGACACUGCUGGACGGCAGAGGUACUAGUGACACGUCUGGUGGCCACACUGAGCGCUUGUCUUUUGUAAGUACUCCCUUACUCUGGAUCCUUUUAUUUAUCACUUUUUGCAUUGGUUCCCUCCUUCCUUAUCUAAUGCCUGUUUCUAUUGCCAUCCAUUGUAUUUACAGAUUGGAGCUCUGCUACCUCUCUACUGACACCUUUGGCCAAAUUUAAUAUGACACAUUUCUGCUAACCUCAGGUUUUUACAUUAUCAUAUGUUACUUUGUGACUAUAUGGGCCUGAGGUCUUGCUAUAUGUGAUUCUGCACCGCCGGCUUCCUUCCUCUUAAUUUCAUCCAGAGGAGUCUUUCUGCGUCCUGAUAGUGGUGUCCUUUCUCUGGGGUGUGCAGGGUUGAUUAAACGCUGUGAUUGAAAAGUGGUUCUUAUACUCGUUGACUACAUAUACUUCGGCCCCUGAUGAAGGGUAAUCCGAAACGCGUAGGGCCGUGUAUGUCUUCAUGGACCUUGCUUUUCAAUGACACCUAACCAUGUAUUGUUUUUAAAUAUAUUCUAUGUGAUUUAUGUGUACAAUUUCCAUUUUUGAAUAUUAAAUUAUCUAUUUUUUGGA